GAGCAAACCCCUAAAAGCCAUCCCAGUUCGGAUUGCAGGCUGCAACCCGCCUGUAUGAAGUUGGAAUCGCUAGUAAUCGCGGAUCAGCAUGCCGCGGUGAAAUACGUUCCCGGGCCUUGUACACACCGCCCGUCACACCAUGAGAGUCGGGAACACCCGAAGUCCGUAGCCUAACCGCAAGGAGGGCGCGGCCGAAGGUGGGUUCGAUAAUUGGGGUGAAGUCGUAACAAGGUAAC
rnacentral:rRNA from 1 species